GGACUAGCUCAGUUGGUUACAGGGUGGUGCUGAUAACGCCAAGGUUGCAGGUUCGAUCCCUGCAUUCCUGCACCA